CAAGGUGCUGCAUGGUUGUCGUCAGCUCGUGCCGUGAGGUGUCGGUUAAGUCCCAUAACGAGCGCAACCCUUAUCGUUAGUUGCCAUCUGGUAAUGCAGGGGACUCUAGCGAAACUGCCACCGUAAGGUGAGAGGAAGGUGGGGAUGACGUCAAAUCAGCACGGCCCUUAUGUCCAGGGCUACACACGUGUUACAAUGGUCGGUACAGAGGGCAGCUACCUGGUGACAGGAUGCUAAUCUCGAAAACCGGUCUCAGUUCGGAUCGAAGUCUGCAACUCGACUUCGUGAAGCUGGAUUCGCUAGUAAUCGCGCAUCAGCUAUGGCGCGGUGAAUACGUUCCCGGGCCUU
rnacentral:rRNA from 1 species